rnacentral:rRNA from 1 species
UACGGGGGGGGCAAGCGUUGUUCGGAAUUACUGGGCGUAAAGGGCUCGUAGGUGGCCAACUAAGUCAGACGUGAAAUCCCUCGGCUUAACCGGGGAACUGCGUCUGAUACUGGAUGGCUUGAGUUUGGGAGAGGGACGCGGAAUUCCAGGUGUAGCGGUGAAAUGCGUAGAUAUCUGGAGGAACACCGGUGGCGAAGGCGGCGUCCUGGACCAACACUGACACUGAGACACGAAAGCGUGGGUAGCAAACAGG